rnacentral:rRNA from 1 species
AAUGAACGCUGGCGGCAGGCUUAACACAUGCAAGUCGAGCGAGCGGAGGACGGGUGAGCAAGGUCUGGGAAACUGCCUGAUGGAGGGGGAUAACUACUGGAACCGGUAGCUAAUACCGCAUACCAUCGGAUGUGCCCAGACGGGAGUAGCUAGUAGGUGGGGUAAAGGUUCACCUAGGCGACGAUCCCUAGCUGGUCUGAGAGGAUGACCGGCCACACUGGAACUGAGACACGGUCCAGACUCCUACGGAAGGCAGCAGUGGGGAAUAUUGGACAAUGGGCGAAAGUCUGAUGGAGCCAUGCCGCGUGUGUGAAGAAGGCCUUCGGAUUGUAAAGUACUUUCAGCGGGGAGGCGUUACCCGGAGAAGAAGCACCGGCUAACUCCGUGCCAGCAGCCGCGGUAAUAC